rnacentral:lncRNA from 10 species
GGAAGGCCUGAAAAGCAGUCUCAGAAGCAGUAUCUCUCUGACCUGUUCCUGCCUGCCUAUCUCCCACCCCUCGUUUCCUCACAAAGCAAGCCAUAGAGACUAGAAUUCCUCUUUCUCAACCUAAAAAAUACGUCUGUAACUUUCCCCUGCCUUUCUGUGUAAGAUCUGGCCAUCAAGACAUUUUUUGACCUACCUUCCCUCAUUCCAGGAAGGGUCCUGUCCUGUACCCGGGAGGAAGAAAUGCUACACAGAGAAGCCAAGAUGAAUCUGAACAGACAGCCUUUGAUGUUAGAAGACACUGAGGCAUCAACAGGGUUUAAUUCCAUACUCUGUCAUCGAAUAUAGCAAUUGUAAUUGCACCAAUCAGCACUUUGUGUCAAGCUCAAGAUUUGU